CAGUCGCCACGGUAAUACGUAGGUGGCAAGCGUUAUCCGGAAUUAUUGGGCGUAAAGCGCGCGUAGGCGGUUUUUUAAGUCUGAUGUGAAAGCCCACGGCUCAACCGUGGAGGGUCAUUGGAAACUGGAAAACUUGAGUGCAGAAGAGGAAAGUGGAAUUCCAUGUGUAGCGGUGAAAUGCGCAGAGAUAUGGAGGAACACCAGUGGCGAAGGCGACUUUCUGGUCUGUAACUGACGCUGAUGUGCGAAAGCGUGGGGAUCAAACAGGAUUAGAUACCCCUGAGUCCCUGUCUCUUAUACA
rnacentral:rRNA from 1 species